UACAGAGGUCCCGAGCGUUGUUCGGAUUCACUGGGCGUAAAGGGUGCGUAGGUGGCAUGGUAAGUCGGGUGUGAAAUUUCGGAGCUUAACUCCGAAACUGCAUUCGAUACUGGCGUGCUUGAGGACUGGAGAGGAGACUGGAAUUCAUGGUGUAGCAGUGAAAUGCGUAGAGAUCAUGAGGAAGACCAGUGGCGAAGGCGGGUCUCUGGACAGUUCCUGACACUGAGACACGAAGGCCAGGGGAGCAAACGGG
rnacentral:rRNA from 1 species